rnacentral:tRNA from 1 species
GCGAGAGUAAUUUAGCGGCAAGAAUGAUAGUUUCCCAAAUUGUCAGUACGGGUUCGACUCCCGUCUCUCGCUCCA